UUGCUUCAGCAGCACAUAUACUAAAAUUGGAACGAUACAGAGAAGAUUAGCAUGGCCCCUGCACAAGGAUAACACGCAAAUUCGUGAAGCAUUCCAUAUUUUA
ensembl:snRNA U6 U6 spliceosomal RNA